GACGAACGCUGGCGGCGUGCUUAACACAUGCAAGUCGAACGGAAAGGCCUGCUUUCCCUUGUGGAUUGCGGGUACUCGAGUGGCGAACGGGUGAGUAACACGUGAGUGAUCUGCCCCCAACUUGGGUAUAAGCCUGGGAAACUGGGUCUAAUUCCCGAUAGGACUGCAGGGUGGUGCCUGUGGUGGAAAACGAUUUUCUAGUGGUUGGGGAUGAGCUCGCGGCCUAUCAGCUUGUUGGUGGGGUAAUGGCCUACCAAGGCGGCGACGGGUAGCCGGCCUGAGAGGGUGGACGGCCACAUUGGGACUGAGAUACGGCCCAGACUCCUACGGGAGGCAGCAGUGGGGAAUAUUGCACAAUGGGCGGAAGCCUGAUGCAGCGACGCCGCGUGGGGGAUGACGGCCUUCGGGUUGUAAACUCCUUUCGACCGCGGGGAAGCCACCUGGUUGGAAGGGUGGUGACGGUAGUGGUAGAAGAAGCACCGGCUAACUACGUG
rnacentral:rRNA from 1 species